GAUGAACGCUAGCGACAGGCUUAACACAUGCAAGUCGAGGGGCAGCGAGGGCGUAGCAAUACGCCUGUCGGCGACCGGCGCACUGGUGAGUAACACGUAUGCGACCUGCCCCCUACAGGGGUAUAACCCGUAGAAAUGCGGACUAAUCCCCCAUAGUCCUGAGUGCUGCAUGGCAUUCAGGGGAAAGGGUUUCCGGUAGGGGAUGGGCAUGCGGCGCAUUAGCUAGUUGGCGGGGCAACGGCCCACCAAGGCGACGAUGCGUAGGGGUUCUGAGAGGAAGGUCCCCCACACUGGUACUGAGACACGGACCAAACUCCUACGGGAGGCAGCAGUGAGGAAUAUUGGUCAAUGGGCGAGAGCCUGAACCAGCCAAGUAGCGUGCAGGAAGACGGCCCUAUGGGUUGUAAACUGCUUUUAUAGGGGAAUAAAGUGAGAGUCGUGACUCUUUUGCAUGUACCUUAUGAAUAAGGACCGGCUAAUUCCGUG
rnacentral:rRNA from 1 species